CAAUAGCGUAUAUUAAAGUUGUUGCAGUUAGAACGCUCGUAGUCGGAUUUCGGGGCGGGGCGACCGGUCUGCCGAUGGGUAUGCACUGGUCGGCGCGUCCUUCCUUCCGGAGACCGUUCCUACUCUUAACUGAGCGGGGGCGGGAGACGGAUCGUUUACUUUGAAAAAAUCAGAGUGUUUCAAGCAGGCAGCUCGCUCUUGCAUGGAUUAGCAUGGGAUAAUGAAAUAGGACUUUGGUGCUAUUUUGUUGGUUUCGAACACCGAAGUAAUGAUUAAAAGGGACAGUCAGGGGCACUCGUAUUCCGCCGAGAGAGGUGAAAUUCUCAGACCAGCGGAAGACGAACCACUGCGAANGNAUUUGGNAGGGAUGUUUNCACUG
rnacentral:rRNA from 1 species